rnacentral:rRNA from 1 species
UACAGAGGUCUCAACCGUUGUUCGGAUUCAUUGGGCGUAAAGGGCGCGUAGGCGGCCUUCUAAGUCGAACGUGAAAUCCCCGGGCUCAACCCGGGAACUGCGUCCGAUACUGGAAGGCUUGAAUCCGGGAGAGGGAUGCGGAAUUCCAGGUGUAGCGGUGAAAUGCGUAGAUAUCUGGAGGAACACCGGUGGCGAAGGCGGCAUCCUGGACCGGCAUUGACGCGUGAGGCGCGAAAGCCAGGGGAGCAAAGCGGG